rnacentral:autocatalytically_spliced_intron from 1 species
AUUAGGGAAAAAUAGGAUUUUUCCUAUGAUGGUACCUAAUGAAUAAGGGGCUGCUAAACUCGUGAACAUUCCCGGGCUCGUCCGGGAAGGCGCGACUCCCAAGAGUAAUCUUGGGAUGCAUAACUUGGCUUAUAUGCUGGAACAUCCAAUUAACUAAGAGCUACUCUUUUAGAGUGACAAUGCUCUUAAAGCUCUUUUUGAGCGUUGGACAAUCAGCAGGGAAGUAAGUUAUAAUUGGAGUAAAGGAAGAGAAAAAUUUCUUCACUUGGUAAAACCUUAUAUUCUUAAUUGUUUUAAACAUAAAUUACCUCCAAUAUAACUUACCCUUCAGAGACUGAAGUCGUUUUUUAACGACUGAGAUAGUAGAUACUAGAUAAUCUAGAUAAAAACUACUAUCAUACGCCGAGAAUCCUAAACUAUUAGGAUUAUGAGAUAGUCCAUUGACUACAACACAUUUAUAU